rnacentral:lncRNA from 1 species
AUCUUAUCUUUACCUACCGCAAACUAGUGUAAUUAGUUUAGUUGCUUACUUUGCCUUGUGUAGCUUAGUUCUCUAGUGUAACUUUUAGAGACUUAGUUCUUGUGUGCAUAGAGAUCAUAACAACUAGAAUUGUUGGGUAGGUGGCUUGCAAACACCCUUUUAGGGCUAGAGCAAAAAGCUUCGCUUUGUUAUUUACUAACCUUUUGCUCUAGUGAGUUUGUAGAUUUUUUAAAUAGGCUAUUCACCCCCC